rnacentral:rRNA from 1 species
UUUUAAUAAUUAACUUAAAUUAAUUUUUGAUUUAAUUUAAAUUAUUUCAUUGGGGUGAUGAAAAAAUUUAAUUAACUUUUUUUUAUUAUUAAACAAAUAUUUUUGAAUAUAUUUUUAAUAAUUUAAUUUUAUUAUAAAUUAAAU